rnacentral:rRNA from 1 species
UACAGAGGGGGCAAGCGUUGUUCGGAAUUACUGGGCGUAAAGGGCUCGUAGGCGGCCAACUAAGUCAUACGUGAAAUCCCUCGGCUUAACCGGGGAACUGCGUCUGAUACUGGAUGGCUUGAGAUUGGGAGAGGGAUGCGGAAUUCCAGGUGUAGCGGUGAAAUGCGUAGAUAUCUGGAGGAACACCGGUGGCGAAGGCGGCAUCCUGGACCAACACUGACGCUGAGGAGCGAAAGCCAGGGGAGCAAACGGG